rnacentral:rRNA from 1 species
UCAGGAUGAACGCUAGCUACAGGCUUAACGACAUGCAAGUCGAGGGGCAGCAUGAACUUAGCUGCUAAGUUGAUGGCGACCGGCGCACGGGUGAGUAACGCGUAUCCAACCUUCCCCAUAGUAGGGCAUAGCCCGGCGAAAGUCGGAUUAAUACCCUAUGUUCUCCGACGAUGGCAUCUGAUUUGGAGCAAAGGUUUUCCGCUAUGGGAUGGGGGAUGCGUCCGAUUAGCUUGCCGGCGGGGUAACGGCCCACCGGGGCUUCGAUCGGUAGGGGUUCUGAGAGGAAGGUCCCCCACAUUGGAACUGAGACACGGUCCAAACUCCUACGGGAGGCAGCAGUGAGGAAUAUUGGUCAAUGGGCGCGAGCCUGAACCAGCCCAAGUAGCGUGCAGGAUGACGGCCCUACGGGUUGUAAACUGCUUUUGUACGGGAAUAAAGUGCGGGACGCGUCCCGUUUUGUAUGUACCGUAAGAAUAAGGACCGGCUAAUUCCGUGCCAGCCGCCGC